GAUGAACGCUGGCGGCGUGCCUAAUACAUGCAAGUCGAGCGAACGGACGAGAAGCUUGCUUCUCUGAUGUUAGCGGCGGACGGGUGAGUAACACGUGGAUAACCUACCUAUAAGACUGGGAUAACUUCGGGAAACCGGAGCUAAUACCGGAUAAUAUUUUGAACCGCAUGGUUCAAAAGUGAAAGACGGUCUUGCUGUCACUUAUAGAUGGAUCCGCGCUGCAUUAGUUAGUUGGUAAGGUAACGGCUUACCAAGGCAACGAUGCAUAGCCGACCUGAGAGGGUGAUCGGCCACACUGGAACUGAGACACGGUCCAGACUCCUACGGGAGGCAGCAGUAGGGAAUCUUCCGCAAUGGGCGAAAGCCUGACGGAGCAACGCCGCGUGAGUGAUGAAGGUCUUCGGAUCGUAAAACUCUGUUAUUAGGGAAGAACAUAUGUGUAAGUAACUGUGCACAUCUUGACGGUACCUAAUCAGAGAGCCACGGCUAACUACGUG
rnacentral:rRNA from 1 species